rnacentral:tRNA from 1 species
GGCCCUCUGGCGCAACGGUAGCGCGUUCGACUCCAGUUCGGGAUUCACCGAGUUGCCAUCGAAAGGUUAUCCGUUCAAAUCGGGUGGGGGUCA